GAGGGUAUAGCUCAGUGAUAGAGCACAUGCUUAGCAUGCAUGAGGUCCUAGGUUUAAUCCCCAGUACCUCCA
rnacentral:tRNA from 1 species